CCCCUUCUCAUUCUCAUUCUCAUUCUCACUCUUCUUCUUCUUUUUCUUCUUCUUCUUCUUCUAGCUCCUUCCAUUUUUGUUGAAGACCGGUGAACUCACCUGCUGCCUUUUAAAGCACACCUGGGUGCUGCGUUUUCAAAUUAGCCUGUGUGUGCUUUCACACCUGGUGGAUGUGAUUAUCCAUUCAUUAAUUAUAACCUCACAACCCUUAUCUGUGUCCAAGGUGUGGAAAUGUGUGUAGAGUUUUACAAAUCACUGUGUGAUGUUUUGCAAAAAGGGUGAGGCAGACAUUGUGUGUAAUGUUGUGCAAAUCUGUGGAGGUGUUUUGCUCAUUGGAGUAGGAUUUUGCAAAUUGUGUGGCCCCUUUCUUUUUUUUAUUGUGUAAACAAUCGUAAAAAACUGU